rnacentral:rRNA from 1 species
GCUUACGGCCACAGCACCCUAAAAUCGCCCAGUCUUGUCUGAUCUUGGAAGUGCUCCAGGGCCGGGCCUGGCUAGUACCUGGAUGGGAUUCUGCCUGGGAAAACCAGGUGUUGUAGGCA